AUGUAUUUUUAUUUUGUUGACAGACUUACUCUUGUAAACUGCACAAAGACAGGCAGACGGAUAUACGCAGGAGAGACUUGGCCGUACGGUACAGGGCUAAUCAUCUCCUGCCCAGGAGCAAUCAUCUCCUGCUCCAAACAGCCCCGACGUGCUGCUGAGUGUUCUACCAUCCAGGAAUUGUAUCAACUGAGGUAUGGAAAUCACUGCCGCAUUUUGCAGCAGUUGAUGCAUCUUGCAUCUUGCAUGUUCUGCCCACUCCGAGCCGAUCAUCCUGCAUGCACUGGUCGAAGCUGGAGUUCGGUUCAGAAGUUGGAGGUCGUGUAA
rnacentral:rRNA from 1 species